rnacentral:lncRNA from 1 species
CAACUUUUUCUUUUAGCUGAGAAAGGGAAAAAAGAGUGAAAGGGAGGGGGAAAAAAUGAAGUCCUCCAGAAACUUUGCAUCUGGAAAGUCCAGAAUGAGUUGUUGAUUUCCCAACAGACUCUGGAGCAGAUUUGGAAGGAACUAUGCAAUGUAGUGGGUUCUUUGUGCAAGAACAGCUAAGAGAAAAGCCACAAGAACAUCCUCCGGGGUGCCCAGAGCACAGACCCUGGGGUAGCUGCUUGUCAGCCUCAUUUCUCGUAGAGGGUGACAUGGAAAAGAAGCUGGCCAGAACCGGGCUCUGAGUCUAGGGCUUCAGACCAAACCUCAGUCUCUGGGCAUAGCAACCCCCCAAGAGGAUCAGCCGUUCUUCAAUGGUAAGGAUCAAACCUGCUUGUCUGCAGGUAUGGGC